rnacentral:rRNA from 1 species
CCUGGCUCAGGAUGAACGCUAGCUACAGGCUUAACACAUGCAAGUCGAGGGGCAGCAUGGUCUUAGCUUGCUAAGGCCGAUGGCGACCGGCGCACGGGUGAGUAACACGUAUCCAACCUGCCGUCUACUCUUGGACAGCCUUCUGAAAGGAAGAUUAAUACAAGAUGGCAUCAUGAGUCCGCAUGUUCACAUGAUUAAAGGUAUUCCGGUAGACGAUGGGGAUGCGUUCCAUUAGAUAGUAGGCGGGGUAACGGCCCACCUAGUCUUCGAUGGAUAGGGGUUCUGAGAGGAAGGUCCCCCACAUUGGAACUGAGACACGGUCCAAACUCCUACGGGAGGCAGCAGUGAGGAAUAUUGGUCAAUGGGCGAGAGCCUGAACCAGCCAAGUAGCGUGAAGGAUGACUGCCCUAUGGGUUGUAAACUUCUUUUAUAAAGGAAUAAAGUCGGGUAUGGAUACCCGUUUGCAUGUACUUUAUGAAUAAGGAUCGGCUAACUCCGUGCCAGCAGCCGCGGUAAUACGGAGGAUCCGAGCGUUAUCCGGAUUUAUUGGGUUUAAAGGGAGCGUAGAUGGAUGUUUAAGUCAGUUGUGAAAGUUUGCGGCUCAACCGUAAAAAUUGCAGUUGAUACUGGAUAUCUUGAGUGCAGUUGAGGCAGGCGGAAUUCGUGGUGUAGCGGUGAAAUGCUUAGAUAUCACGAAGAACUCCGAUGCGCAAGGCAGCCUGCUAAGCUGCAACUGACAUUGAGGCUCGAAAGUGUGGGUAUCAAACAGGAUUAGAUACCCUGGUAGUCCACACGGUAAACGAUGAAUACUCGCUGUUUGCGAUAUACUGCAAGCGGCCAAGCGAAAGCGUUAAGUAUUCCACCUGGGGAGUACGCCGGCAACGGUGAAACUCAAAGGAAUUGACGGGGGCCCGCACAAGCGGAGGAACAUGUGGUUUAAUUCGAUGAUACGCGAGGAACCUUACCCGGGCUUAAAUUGCAGAUGAAUUACGGUGAAAGCCGUAAGCCGCAAGGCAUCUGUGAAGGUGCUGCAUGGUUGUCGUCAGCUCGUGCCGUGAGGUGUCGGCUUAAGUGCCAUAACGAGCGCAACCCUUGUUGUCAGUUACUAACAGGUUCCGCUGAGGACUCUGACAAGACUGCCAUCGUAAGAUGUGAGGAAGGUGGGGAUGACGUCAAAUCAGCACGGCCCUUACGUCCGGGGCUACACACGUGUUACAAUGGGGGGUACAGAGGGCCGCUACCACGCGAGUGGAUGCCAAUCCCCAAAACCUCUCUCAGUUCGGACUGGAGUCUGCAACCCGACUCCACGAAGCUGGAUUCGCUAGUAAUCGCGCAUCAGCCACGGCGCGGUGAAUACGUUCCCGGGCCUUGUACACACCGCC